ACUUUCGCAUAACCCAAUUUCACCCUAGCUAUUUUGUCUUUUCCCUUUUCUUCUUCUUCCCUGGACAUACAGGCGAGUAGGGCAAGGAAAUCAUUCGCGAAAUCAUCACAAACUCACCACCACCGGCGAAUCUACCACCGAAGAAAUACUUUACGGUCGACGACUUCAUUACCACCGGCGACCUCAACACAAUCUCUAGCGAACUACAAAUUUAGGUGAAUCAUUCAAUUACCGAGCAAAGUAAGAAGAAAUAUAUACUUGCCCCAAUCCGUCAAGAAGGGGAAGAGUUUAUCUUCGAUUCCAUGGCCGAUAGGUAGUUAGACA